rnacentral:lncRNA from 1 species
GGUUUUACUCAUUGUUCGAUAGAAUGAGAAAAAGUACUCGUUGCAAAUUUAUACUGUUUGGGCGCAACUGAGUAUUGUAAUGUUGUUUCGGUUUUAAUUCUUGUGAACGUUGACAUGAAAUCGUUCCAAAUUUACACUCUCGGGACAUAAUAGAAAAAUAUAAUUAGGUUUUACUCUUUGUUCGAUAGAAUUAGAAAAAGUACUCGUUGCAAAGUUAUACUAUAAAGGUGCAACUGGGUAGUCUAAUGUUGUUCCGGUUUUUCUUCUUGUGAACGUUGACAUCGAUUCGUUCCAAAUUUACACUCUCUGGGCAUAAUAGAACAAUAUAAUUAGGUUUUACGCUUUGUUCGAUAGAAUGAGAAAAAGUACUCAUUGCAAAGUUAUACUGUUAGGGCGCAACUGAGUAGUCUAAUGUUGUUCCGGUUUUUGUUCUUGUGAACGUUGACAUCGAUUAGUUCCAAAUUCACAAUCUCAGGGCAUAAUAGAACAAUAUAAUUAGGUUUUACUCUUUGUUCGAUUGAAUGACAAAAAGUACUCGUUGCAAUGUUAAAUUGUUAGGACGCAACUGAGUAGUCUAAUGUUGUUCUGGUUUGGUUCUUGUGAACGUUAACAUCGAUUCGUUCCAAAUUUACACUCUCGGGGCAUAAUAGAACAAUAUAAUUAGGUUUUACUCUUUGUUCGAUUGAAUGAGAAAAAGUACUCGUUGCAAAGUUAUACUGUUAGGGCGCAACUGAGUAGUCUAAUGUUGUUCUGGUUUUGGUUCUUGUGAACGUUGACAUCGAUUCAAUCCAAAUUAACACUCUUGGGGUAUAAUAGAACAAUAUAAUUAG